UCGAGCUUUUUAACUGUUUAAUGUGGAUCGUACAGAAGACUCGAGUUUACAGGACUGAGGAGUUUACGCGUUUCAGUUUCUUAGUAACAUAAAGUGCAUUUUUGUCUCGUUAACUUCAAGAGAAAGAGAAGAAAUAGAGCCUGGUGAGGGAACGACUGUAUAAAGCUCCAAAAUGUAACAGGAACUAACUAACUGUUCUUACUGAUCUUUACAAAGGGCCUUGGGACUCUUUCCAUAAAUGUUAAAUAAAUGUCUCCUAACAGAAAACUAAACCAUAUAUACACAUUUUUAAUCUGUUUCUAUGGAGCGUCUGCCAUACAAGUCCCUGUGAAAGAGCUGCUACUAUAGAAACGAUGACGAUUUGCGUAUUUCACCAUGGAAAAGUUAGUUUUAUACUGGACAUUCGCUGCACAUUAGAGAUUGUCUCUUUCUUUUUCUCAAGAAAUAAACACAUAAAAUGACAAAACUUGGACAGAGAACCAAGAACAAUCGAAUAUACUUAAAAAAAAUUCUCCCGUUGAAGCUCGCUGAAGUUUCCAUAAAUGUUAAGAACCACAGUUCACCAGCGCUUUAUAGUAAUGCCGUCAGUAAGGGACCGUCUAAAAAGUGCUUAACAUAGGCAACUCUGUAAGAUUCUAUCAAGAUUAUAGCCGUCUAUAGGAGGAUAUCUGACGUAUUGCAGUAUUCGGAUACAGCACGCAUUCGGUACAGUGGGAUAUAACAUGUUAUAUGUAUUUUUUUAUUUUAAUGGUUUUAUUUAAGAUGAGGCAUACAUGUAAAACCAAAGGCACAGUGAUAGACUCUAUUAUUCCUAUCAACUACAGCCAAUAGAUUAAAAAAAAAACAAAACUCUUUUUUUUUUUUUUCCUCUGUGCUUGAUCACACGCAUGUCCAAUACAGUGAUUCAGAAGAACAUUGUGUGUUUUGCUGGUGUGGGGAUCUGUGUUUUCUUGUUGGUGGUUACCUGCACUGAUAAUCAGUGUGGAGAUCAUGUGAUCUGCAUUGUGUGGCUGCUUGUCUUGGGUCACAUGAGGCAUGUCACAUGACACAUCAGGAGAUUAUAAAGUUUGGCUUGUGGAGUUCACACUCUCUUGCUGCUGCCAUUUGCUACUGCAACUAGACUCCCGUCAUACAGGGUGACUGCUAGAACAAUGUGUUCCACUCUUCAUGAAGGACACAGGUGACUGCGUGGCAUUUGAAGGACUUGUGGCCUCCUAUUGAGUUGCUGGGCUGCAGACACUCUGGUAGUUUGUCUUAUGUGAUUUCGUUUUUUAAAUUGUUUUAUAUUGGUAUUUAAAAUGUGUUGAUUAUGUACUUGUAUUUGUAGCACUGGAGUGCCCCAUUUUAUCUUCCUGGGUUAUUGUGCUGUGGGGAGUAUUGAACACUCUUGCAAAGUAGGCCAAUACUUCUUGUAUGUUGGUUUUAUGUGUGCUGGUGAAUGAAAUUGGGGAUUAAUGUGCAUUAUUUCUUUUUAAAGGGACCAGGCCAGCCACUGUUUUAUUGUCAGUGUACAAGUCUUUUUUUUUUUUUUUUUUUUUUAGUUUGUUUGUUGGUUGUUUUGUUUGCCUUUGGCUUUGUCCUUUUUUUUUUUUUUUUGGUCCUUGGUCUAGUGUAACCCUGCCUUGACCAAGCCAGCGCGGUGGUCAUUGUGUUGGGAGCUGGCUGUUCUCCUCUUUUUGUCUCUGUAUAGGUUCUCUGUACAAGGCCGGAUCUGCACCUCACUACUGCUCCUUUCAGUUGGGGGCUGCACUGAGGGGACACUAUUUUGGUGUGUACUGGUAACAUGCAACACGGUGUGGUAUUUUGUAGUGGUAAUUACUGACCUUGUGUGUGCCGUGUUUGCUAUGUUGCAUGCUUGUAUGGUGUUGGGUUUGUUGUGUCUGUCUCUCUCACCAGGGCCUCCUAGGAGAGGAGCUGUGGGUGCCGUGCCGACCCGACCUUAUUAGUUUGAGAAUCUCCGGCCAGUUUCCCUUCGUCUCUUUUUCACAUUAGCAAUUGUACCUAUUCAAAAUUGUAAUAAAUUUGAGCUUGUGUA